UAUAUGCCUUGAAACCUCAGUUAGGAAAUCCACAACAGAGUGACUUUGUCUCAGCAAGCAGCAUGAGACCUGCAGACCUGGAGAAUCAUCAGAGGAAGAGAGCAGCUUUUGCCUGGCYGAGUCUCAAGUCUUAUUUCCUUCAUCUUAAUGCUGGGAAUAAUGAGAUCCCUCCUGUACCUGUUCUUCCUGAUGAUGAUCAAGUCCUUGAGGAGCUUUAAUAUUGACACUGGCAAGAAGUGGAUCACGCCACAUACAGCCUCUCUGCUGUGGCCCACGGUUCUUCAGCACUCGGAUGGGAACACGACUGUGAUUUUGGCUACUUCCUCAGUAGACAAGGGGCUGGGCAGGCUGAGUAAGUGCACUGUUUUGCAGGAAGAGAUCCAGUGCCAGGAAAUACCUUUGAGAGGUACAGUCCAGUUCCCCCUUCGCAAUCCUUGCUUUGCCAUGGUAUGGGGGGGUGCAG
rnacentral:lncRNA from 1 species